CGCUGAUGCCCGUCACAGAAACCCAGAGUUUGUUGGUCCGCCGUCCAUUUGAAAGGGCUUCUCCCUCCCGUUCUCUCUCUCUCUCUCUCUCUCUCUCUCUCUCUCUCUCGCUGCUUUGUUCGGAGUUCUCUUCUUUUUACCCUCUUUCGAUUUUCUCAGUCUUCUUGACCUCUCUGGGGUUCCCAAGAUUCUCAUUCGUUGAUCCAUUUCCGUCCCUCCCGAUCCUUGAACGACCAUCUCCUCGGAGAAACUGGAGGCUCAGAAACGCCGGUUUCUGGAGGAGGACCACUCCUGAUCGCCAGCUCAAGCUGAUGGAGGAGAUAUUCCAAGAAGAUGCAGCAGCGGGAGGCGAGGACUGCAAGAAUUCAAAGAAGGAAGAUGACGUGGACCCAAGCGCAGGUGGACUUCUAUUGUUUACUGUUCUGAUUAGGGGGGCUACCAUCCUGCUUCGGUUGAAUCAAACGAAAGGCUCGGUCAAGCUUCGCGUGAGUUGCUCAAUGUCAUUUAGUUUUUUCUUUUCAUAUUUGAUUAUUGAUAAUAUCCAAUAUUGCCAUUCAGAGACUGAUCUGCUCAACUUUGAACUUCUUUGAUGUCGGACGGUGUAUUGGCAUUCAAUGUUGGGCAUUUUUACUAUUUACGCUUGUCUUUUUAAUAUAUCAAUGAAUUGGAUC